UACGUAGGUGGCAAGCGUUGUCCGGAUUUACUGGGCGUAAAGAGCGCGCAGGCGGUCGUUCAAGUCGCGUGUGAAAGCCCCCGGCUCAACUGGGGAGGGUCACGCGAUACUGAUCGACUCGAAGGCAGGAGAGGGAAGUGGAAUUCCCGGUGUAGUGGUGAAAUGCGUAGAUAUCAGGAGGAACACCGAUGGCGAAGGCAGAUCUCUGGGCCGUAACUGACGCUGAGGAGCGAAAGCAUGGGGAGCGAACAGG
rnacentral:rRNA from 1 species